GUACUUUGAAGAGAGAGUAAACAGUGCGUGAACCGCUCAGAGGUAAACGGGUGGAGUUGAACUGCAAGCUCUGUGAAUUCAGCUGGUGAGCAUGGUUUGAGCUUGGUUAAAUUGGUUGAGCUUCGAGGUCUGCGUAUUAGCAGGUCUUUGCCUUCGGGUGGAGAUGCGCGGUACACCUACCAAGUGUUGUGCGCUUCGGAGUUUCGGAUCAGCUCGCCAGUGCACUUUUGCAGAGAGUUCACCACGACCGGCAUCGCUGUCUGACUGUUGUGGUUAAACCGGUCUUGCAUCGUUGUUGAAGCUUUGCUUGAUCGGGAGGGCAGGUAGCUCGUUGGUGUUCCGUGGCUUGCUGCGGUCGUCUUCGGGUGUAAUCAGCUGACUACGAUGGUUCUGUGCAGUAUGUCGGAGACGGCGGCUUGUGUGUGCGUGCGUGCCGUUCUUGUGGGCUUGCUCGUGUCUGACUGUCAUGUGCUUGCGCAAGCAGGCCUGGUAGUGGCUCGGGUUUGUCCUGUGAGUGGUUGCGUGCGUGUCACGUUGCGGGCCAAUAGUCUGUGGUGUAGUGUUAGACGAUCCACCUGACCCGUCUUGAAACACGGACCAAGGAGAGUAACAUGUGCGCGAGUCAUUGGGCGUAACGAAACCCAAAGGCGCAGUGAAAGUAAAGGCUGGAUUCAUUCUAGCUGAGGUGAGAUCCUGCCGUUUCUCAUGCACGGUACUACCAAGCAUCGAGCGGUGGGCGCAUCACCGGCCCGUCCCAUGAUGUAGACACAUAGCUUCGUGCCAGUGCACCGUCGGGGCGGAGCAUGAGCGUACAUGUUGAGACCCGAAAGAUGGUGAACUAUGCUUGCGCAGGUUGAAGCCAGAGGAAACUCUGGUGGAGGACCGCAGCGAUUCUGAGUGCAAAUCGAUCGUCAAACGUGAGUAUA
rnacentral:rRNA from 1 species